AACUGGAAAGCGGCGGACGGGUGAGUAACGCGUGGGUAACCUACCCCAUACACAGGGAUAGCCAUUGGAAACGAUGAUUAAUACCUGAUAACACAUAAUGGUCGCAUGACUAUGAUGUCAAAGAUUUAUCGGUAUGGGAUGGACCCGCGUCUGAUUAGCUAGUUGGUGAGGUAAAAGCUUACCAAGGCGACGAUCAGUAGCCGACCUGAGAGGGUGAUCGGCCACACUGGAACUGAGACACGGUCCAGACUCCUACGGGAGGCAGCAGUGGGGAAUAUUGCACAAUGGGCGCAAGCCUGAUGCAGCAACGCCGCGUGAGCGAAGAAGGUCUUCGGAUCGUAAAGCUCUUUUCUUAGGGAAGAAAAAUGACGGUACCUAAGGAAUAAGCACCGGCUAAAUACGUGCCAGCAGCCGCGGUAAUACGUA
rnacentral:rRNA from 1 species